rnacentral:rRNA from 1 species
ACUCCUACGGGAGGCAGCAGUGGGGAAUAUUGCACAAUGGGCGCAAGCCUGAUGCAGCCAUGCCGCGUGUGUGAAGAAGGCCUUCGGGUUGUAAAGCACUUUCAGUCGUGAGGAAGGUAGUGUAGUUAAUAGCUGCAUUAUUUGACGUUAGCGACAGAAGAAGCACCGGCUAACUCCGUGCCAGCAGCCGCGGUAAUACGGAGGGUGCGAGCGUUAAUCGGAAUUACUGGGCGUAAAGCGCAUGCAGGUGGUUUGUUAAGUCAGAUGUGAAAGCCCGGGGCUCAACCUCGGAAUAGCAUUUGAAACUGGCAGACUAGAGUACUGGUAGAGGGGGUAGAAUUUCAGGUGUAGCGGUGAAAUGCGUAGAGAUCUGAAGGAAUACCGGUGGCGAAAGGCGGCCCCUGGACAGAUACUGACACUCAGAUGCGAAAGCGUGGGAGCAAACAGGAUUAGAUACCCCUGGUAGACUGUCA